AUGGGGGAAACCCUGAUGCAGCAACGCCGCGUGAGGUAUGAAGGCCUUUGGGUUGUAAGCCUCUGUCCUAGGGGAAGAAAAAAAUGACGGUACCCGAGGAGGAAGCCCCGGCUAACUACGUGCCAGCAGCCGCGGUAAUACGUAGGGGGCAAGCGUUAUCCGGAAUUAUUGGGCGUAAAGAGUGCGUAGGUGGUCUACUAAGCGCGAUGUGAAAGGCAAUGGCUCAACCAUUGUUAGCCUUGUGAACUGGCAGACUUGAGUGCAAGAGAGGAAAGCGGAAUUCCUAGUGUAGCGGUGAAAUGCGCAGAUAUUAGGAGGAACACCGGCGGCGAAGGCGGCUUUCUGGAUUGUAACUGACACUGAGGCACGAAAGCGUGGGUAGCAAACAGGAUUAGAUACCCUGGUAGUCCACGCCGUAAACGAUGAGCACUAGGUGUCGGGACAUGAGUCUCGGUGCCGCAGUUAACGCAAUAAGUGCUCCGCCUGGGGGAGUACGCACGCAAGUGUAAAACUCAAAGGAAUUGACGGGGACCCGCACA
rnacentral:rRNA from 1 species